rnacentral:rRNA from 1 species
GACGAACGCUGGCGGCGUGCCUAAUACAUGCAAGUUGAGCGCUGAAGGUUGGUACUUGUACCGACUGGAUGAGCAGCGAACGGGUGAGUAACGCGUGGGGAAUCUGCCUUUGAGCGGGGGACAACAUUUGGAAACGAAUGCUAAUACCGCAUAAAAACUUUAAACACAAGUUUUAAGUUUGAAGGAUGCAAUUGCAUCACUCAAAGAUGAUCCCGCGUUGUAUUAGCUAGUUGGUGAGGUAAAGGCUCACCAAGGCGAUGAUACAUAGCCGACCUGAGAGGGUGAUCGGCCACAUUGGGACUGAGACACGGCCCAAACUCCUACGGGAGGCAGCAGUAGGGAAUCUUCGGCAAUAGACGAAAGUCUGACCGAGCAACGCCGCGUGAGUGAAGAAGGUUUUCGGAUCGUAAAACUCUGUUGGUAGAGAAGAACGUUGGUGAGAGUGGAAAGCUCAUCAAGUGACGGUAACUACCCAGAAAGGGACGGCUAACUACGUG